rnacentral:rRNA from 1 species
AGAGUUUGAUCCUGGCUCAGAAUAAACGUUGGCGGCGUGCCUAACACAUGCAAGUCGAACGAGAACGUGUCCUUCGGGGCGCUAGUACAGUGGCAGACGGGUGAGUAACACGUGGGUAACCUGUCCUAGGGUUGGGAAUAACUCUGCGAAAGCGGGGCUAAUACCGAAUAACAUCCAGGGAACAUAAGUUUCUUGGAUUAAAGGGGGCCUCUUUACAAUGCUCCCGCCUAAGGAGGGGCCCGCGGCCCAUUAGCUAGCUGGUAGGGUAACGGCCUACCAGGGCUACGAUGGGUAGCCGGCCUGAGAGGGUGUACGGCCACACUGGGACUGAGACACGGCCCAGAUUCCUACGGGAGGCUGCAGUGAGGAAUAUUACGCAAUGGGCGAAAGCCCGACGUAGCGACGCCGCGUGGACGAUGAAGGUCUUCGGAUCGUAAAGUCCUGUUGUAGGGGAAGAAACUGUGCAGAGCUAAUAUCUCUGCAUUUUGACUGUACCCUGCGAGAAAGCCCCGGCCAACUCCGUGCCAGCAGCCGCGGUAAUACGGGGGGGGCGAGCGUUAUUCGGAAUUACUGGGCAUAAAGGGCGUUUAGGUGGUAUGGUUAGUUGUAGGUGAAAGCCCCGGGCUCAACCCGGGAAGUGCUUACAAUACUGCCGUACUUGAGGCCGGGAGAGGAGAGCGGAAUUCCUAGUGUAGCGGUGAAAUGCGUAGAUAUUAGGAGGAACACCAGUGGCGAAGGCGGCUCUCUGGACCGGUUCUGACACUGAAGCGCGAAAGCUAGGGGAGCAAACGGGAUUAGAUACCCCGGUAGUCCUAGCCCUAAACGAUGGGUACUUGGUGUGGCGGGUAUCGACCCCUGCCGUGCCGGAGCUAAUGCAUUAAGUACCCCGCCUGGGGAGUACGGUCGCAAGGCUGAAACUCAAAGGAAUUGACGGGGGCCCGCACAAGCGGUGGAACAUGUGGUUUAAUUCGAAGCAACGCGAAGAACCUUACCUGGGUUUGGACUGUUAAUGACAGCUUCAGAGAUGAAGUCUUCCUUCGGGACGUUAACAGAGGUGCUGCAUGGCUGUCGUCAGCUCGUGUCGUGAGAUGUUGGGUUAAGUCCCGCAACGAGCGCAACCCUUGUCCUUAGUUGCUACCGGGUCAUGCCGAGCUACUCUAAGGAGACUGCCGGUGAUAAACCGGAGGAAGGUGGGGAUGACGUCAAGUCCUCAUGGCCUUUUAUGCCCAGGGCUACACACGUGUUACAAUGGCCGGUACAAAGGGUUGCCAAACCGUGAGGUGGAGCCAAUCCCUAAAAACCGGUCUCAGUUCAGAUUGUAGUCUGCAACUCGGCUGCAUGAAGUCGGAAUCGCUAGCAAUCGCGGAUCAGCACGCCGCGGUGAAUACGUUCCCGGGCCUUGUACACACCGCCCGUCAUAUCACGAAAGUUGGUUGCACUUGAAGUCGCUGGGCUAACCCGCAAGGGAGGCAGGCGCCGACGGUGUGGUCAAUGAUUGGGGUAAAGUCGAAACAAGGUA